rnacentral:rRNA from 1 species
UACGUAGGGGCAAGCGUUGUCCGGAUUUACUGGGCGUAAGAGCGUGUAGGCGGCCAAGCAGUCCGUUGUGAAACUGGAGGCUAACCUCCAGACGUCGACGGAACCGACGUGGCUAGAGUCCGGAAGAGGGAGAGUGAAGUUCCGUGGUGUGAGACGGUGGAAAUGCGCAGAUAUCGAGGAGGAACACCAGCGGCGAAGGCGGCGCUCUGGGGGCCGGUACUGACGCUGAGGAGCGAAAGCGUGGGUAGCAAACAGG